AGAGUUUGAUCAUGGCUCAGGAUGAACGCUAGCGGCAGGCCUAAUACAUGCAAGACGAGCGGUAAGUUGAGUAGCAAUACUUGACCUAGAGCGUCGUAAGGGUGCGUAACACGUAUGCAAUCUGCCCUCAACUGGAGCAUAGCUCGGCGAAAGCCGGAUUAACUCUCCAUAAGAUCGUGGUGUGGCAUCACACAGCGAUAAAAACUCCGGUGGUUGAGGAUGAGCAUGCGGAUGAUUAGCUAGUUGGCAGUGUAACGGACUACCAAGGCGAUGAUCAAUAGGGGAACUGAGAGGUCGAUCCCCCACACUGGCACUGAGAUACGGGCCAGACUCCUACGGGAGGCAGCAGUAGGGAAUAUUGGACAAUGGGUGCAAGCCUGAUCCAGCCAUGCCGCGUGCAGGAAGAAGGCUUUCUGAGUUGUAAACUGCUUUUGCCAGGGGAUAAAAUAACGGUGCGCCGUGAAUUGAAGGUACCUGGUGAAUAAGCCACGGCUAACUACGUGCCAGCAGCCGCGGUAAUACGUAGGUGGCAAGCGUUGUCCGGAUUUAUUGGGUUUAAAGGGUGCGUAGGCGGUUUUUUAAGUCAGUGGUGAAAUACUUCAGCUCAACUGGAGAGGUGCCAUUGAUACUGGAAAACUUGAGUACUGAUGAGGUAGGCGGAAUGGACGGUGUAGCGGUGAAAUGCUUAGAUAUCGUCCAGAACACCGAUAGCGAAGGCAGCUUACUAAGGAGUAACUGACGCUGAGGCACGAAAGUGUGGGGAUCAAACAGGAUUAGAUACCCUAGUAGUCC
rnacentral:rRNA from 1 species